rnacentral:tRNA from 1 species
GGAGAGGUGGCUGAGCGGUCGAAAGCGACGGUUUGCUAAAUCGUUGAGGGGCGAAAGCUCCUCCGGGGGUUCGAAUCCCCCCCUCUCCGCCA